ACGCUGGCGGCAAGCCUAACACAUGCAAGUCGAGCGGUAGAGAGUAGCUUGCUACUUUUGAGAGCGGCGGACGGGUGAGUAACGCGUGGGAAUCUACCUGGUAGUGGGGGAUAACGUUCGGAAACGGACGCUAAUACCGCAUACGCCCUACGGGGGAAAGGAGGGGCUCUUCGGACCUUUCGCUAUCAGAUGAGCCUGCGUAUGAUUAGCUAUUUGGUAGGGUAAAGGCCUACCAAGGCGACUAUCCUUAACUGGUCUGAGAGGAUGAUCAGCCACACUGGGACUGAGACACGGCCCAGACUCCUACGGGAGGCACCAGUGGGGAAUAUUGGACAAUGGGGGCAACCCUGAUCCAACCAUGCCGCGUGUGUGAAAAAGCCUUCGGGUUGUAAAGCACUUUCACUGGUGAGGAAGGGUGUCAAGUUCAUACCUUUACACAUCGACGUUAGCCACAGAAGAAGCACCGGCUGACUCCGUGCCAUCAUCCGCGGUAAUACGGAGGGUGCAAGCGUUAAUCAUGAAUUACUGGGCGUAUAGCGCGCGUAAGUGGUACAGUCAAUCAGAUGUGAAAUCCCCGGGCUCAACCUGGGAAUUGCGCCUGAUACUGCUGAUCUACAGUACUGUAGAGGGGAGUGGAAUCUCUACUGUAGCGGUGAUAUGAGUAGAUAUCACAACGAACACCAUUGGCUUAAGGCGACUCCCUGGACUGAUACUUACACUGACGUGCCCAAAGCGUGGGGAGCGAACAGGAUUACAUACCCUGGUAGUCCACGCUGUACACGAUGUCAACUAACCGUUGGGACACUAGCUGUCUUAGUGGCGAACUAACGCGAUAAGUUGACCGCCUGGGGAGUACGGUCGCAAGAUUAAAACUCAAAUGAAUUGACGGGGGCCCGCACAAGCGGUGGAGCAUGUGGUUUAAUUCGACGCAACGCGAAGAACCUUACCUACUCUUGACAUCCACGGAAAACUGCAGAGAUGCGGUUGUGCCUUCGGGAACCGUGAGACACGUGCUGCAUGGCUGUCGUCAGCUCGUGUUGUGAAAUGUUGGGUUGAGUCCCGUAACGAGCGCAACCCUUGUCCUUACUUGCCAGCGGGUAAUGCCGGGAACUUUAAGGAGACUGCCGGUGACAAACCGGAGGAAAGUGGGGACGACGUCAAGUCAUCAUGGCCCUUACGAGUAGGGCUACACACGUGCUACAAUGGCCGGUACAGAGGGCCGCAAUACCGCGAGGUGGAGCAAAUCUCAGAAAACCGGUCGUAGUCCGGAUCGCAGUCUGCAACUCGACUGCGUGAAGUCGGAAUCGCUAGUAAUCGCGAAUCAGAAUGUCACGGUGAAUACGUUCCCGGGCCUUGUACACACCGCCCGUCACACCAUGGGAGUGGGUUGCACCAGAAGUAACUAGUCUAACCUUAGGGAGGACGGUUACCACAGUGUGAUUCAUGACUGGGGUGAACUCGUAACAACGUACGGGUAA
rnacentral:rRNA from 1 species